AUUGAACGCUGGCGGCAUGCUUUACACAUGCAAGUCGAACGAGUGGCGAACGGGUGAGUAAUAUAUCGGACCGUACCGAGUACGGGGGGAUAACCAAUCGAAAGAUUGGAUAAUACCGCAUAUUAUUCGAGCGGCCGAUAACUGCUUAGCUGGGUGGUGGGGUAAAGGCCUACCAAGACGACGAUCAGUAGCGGGUCUGGGAGGACGAUCGUCCACACGGGGAUGUAGACACGGCCCAGACUCCUACGGGAGGCAGCAGUGGGGAAUUUUGGACAAUGGGGGCAACCCUGAUCCAGCCAUGCCGCGUGUAUGAAGAAGGCCUUCGGGUUGGAAAGUACUUUUGUUAGGGAAGCGUUACCCGCAGAAGAAGCACCGGCUAACUCCGUGCCAGCAGCCGCGGUAAUAC
rnacentral:rRNA from 1 species